rnacentral:rRNA from 1 species
UCGAGCGAAAUAUUGAGAGCUUGCUUUUGAUUAUUUUAGCGGCGGACGGGUGAGUAACGUGUGGGUAACCUGCCUUUUACUGUGGAAUAAUCGUUGGAAACGACGACUAAUACCGCAUACGGUUCUUGGAAGGCAUCUUCUAAGAAAGAAAGGAUUUAUUCGGUAAAAGAUGGGCCCGCAUCUGAUUAGCUAGUUGGUGAGAUAAUAGCCCACCAAGGCAACGAUCAGUAGCCGACCUGAGAGGGUGACCGGCCACAUUGGGACUGAGACACGGCCCAAACUCCUACGGGAGGCAGCAGUGGGGAAUAUUGCACAAUGGGCGAAAGCCUGAUGCAGCAACGCCGCGUGAAGGAAGACGGUUUUCGGAUUGUAAACUUCUAUCAAUAGGGAAGAAAGAAAUGACGGUACCUAAAUAAGAAGCCCCGGCUAACUACGUGCCAGCAGCCGCGGUAAUACGUAGGGGGCAAGCGUUAUCCGGAAUUACUGGGUGUAAAGGGAGAGUAGGCGGCAAGGUAAGCGAUAUGUGAAAGCCUUAGGCUUAACCAAAGGAUUGCAUAACGAACUAUCUAGCUAGAGUACAGGAGAGGAAAGCGGAAUUCCUAGUGUAGCGGUGAAAUGCGUAGAUAUUAGGAAGAACACCAGUGGCGAAGGCGGCUUUCUGGACUGAAACUGACGCUGAGGCUCGAAAGCGUGGGGAGCGAACAGGAUUAGAUACCCUGGUAGUCCACGCUGUAAACGAUGAGUGCUAGGUGUCGGGGAGGAAUUCCCGGUGCCGGAGCAAACGCAAUAAGCACUCCACCUGGGGAGUACGACCGCAAGGUUGAAACUCAAAGGAAUUGACGGGGGCCCGCACAAGCGGUGGAGCAUGUGGUUUAAUUCGAAGCAACGCGAAGAACCUUACCAAGGCUUGACAUACCUUUG